AAUAAUAAUAAUAAUAAUAAUAAUAAUAAUAAUAAUAAUAAUAAUAAUACCAGUUUUAAGAUAUGGAGCUGGUGUAGUUAAGUGGACCAAGACUGAGUUGGAGAACAUAGAUAGGAAGACAAGGAAACGGAUGACGAUCUAUGGAAUGCUACACCCUCGAGCUAAUGUUGGCCGUUUAUAUCUACCAAGACGAUGUGGAGGACGCGGGCUGAUAGGGGUUGAAGAUUGUAUACAUCUAGAAGAAAAGGGAUUGGCAGACUAUGUUCACAAAAGCGAGGAACCGUUACUUCUAGCGGUGAGGAAUAAAGGAAUACUUCGUGUAGAGGAACAACAGACUGCUAGGGUCUUAAAAGAAAAGCU